rnacentral:rRNA from 1 species
GACGAACGCUGGCGGCGUGCCUAAUACAUGCAAGUCGAGCGAAUCUUUAGGAGCUUGCUCCUAAAGGUUAGCGGCGGACGGGUGAGUAACACGUGGGCAACCUGCCUAUAAGACUGGGAUAACUUCGGGAAACCGGAGCUAAUACCGGAUAAUUCCUUUCCUCUCAUGAGGAAAGGCUGAAAGACGGUUUCGGCUGUCACUUAUAGAUGGGCCCGCGGCGCAUUAGCUAGUUGGUGAGGUAACGGCUCACCAAGGCAACGAUGCGUAGCCGACCUGAGAGGGUGAUCGGCCACACUGGGACUGAGACACGGCCCAGACUCCUACGGGAGUCAGCAGUAGGGAAUCUUCCGCAAUGGACGAAAGUCUGACGGAGCAACGCCGCGUGAGUGAUGAAGGUUUUCGGAUCGUAAAACUCUGUUGUUAGGGAAGAACAAGUACGAGAGUAACUGCUCGUACCUUGACGGUACCUAACCAGAAAGCCACGGCUAACUACGUGCCAGCCGCCGCGGUAACAC